GUGAGUAGUUCAGAGUUUGAUCCUGGCUCAGGAUGAACGCUAGCGGCAGGCUUAACACAUGCAAGUCGAGGGGCAGCAUGGGACGGAGAUUCGUCGAAGUCCUGAUGGCGACCGGCGCACGGGUGAGUAACGCGUAUCCAACCUUCCCCUUACUCAGGAAUAGCCCGUUGAAAGACGGAUUAAUGCCUGAUGUUCUCAUGUUGCCGCAUGGCGAUUUGAGCAAAGAUUCAUCGGUAAGGGAUGGGGAUGCGUAUGAUUAGCUUGUUGGCGGGGUAACGGCCCACCAAGGCGACGAUCAUUAGGGGUUCUGAGAGGAAGGUCCUCCACACUGGAACUGAGACACGGUCCAG
rnacentral:rRNA from 1 species